ensembl:lncRNA
CAAGAUUCUAGGCUUUCGAUACAUGUGAGACACUUGUAUUUUCAUGAAUGUUUAACAUGACUAUUUAUGUUAUGCAAACGAGAGUUAGGAAGGAACAGACAGAGUAUCCCGUCUAUCACACAAUGACGUUACUACAACUUAUCCAAUUGACCACCAGAGACAUUCUUCAGAGGACUCGGUUUGGCAACACGGUCUUCCAUCUACCACCAACCUACUGAAGCGCAGCUCAGAGAGAUCUGCUAACAAUCGCAGACAGCGCUGCAGCUAACAAUACUCAAUGAAGACGCAUAUACACACUAGAGGUCCACAGAUUAACCGGAAUGGCCGAUUUAAUUAGGGCCGAUGUCAAGUUUUCAUAACAAUCGGAAAUCGGUAAUUUUGGACACCAAUUUUGCCAAUUUGUGUUGUUUUUUUACACCUUUAUUUAACUAGGCAAGUCAGUUAAGAACACAUUCUUAUUUUCAAUGACGGCCUAGGAACUGUGGGUUAACUGCCUUGUUCAGGGGCAGAACGACAGAGUUUUACCUUGUCAGCUCAGGGAUUCAAUCUUGCAACCUUACGGUUAACUAGUCCAACACACUCACCACCUGCCUCACGAGGAGCCCGCCUGUUACGCGAAUGCAGUAAGAAGCCAAGGACAAUACAGUGCCACUGACACGGCCUGCAACCAAAACAUGCGGCCUCUCCUUCACUGCAGCCGAGGUGAGGUAAAACAUUUAAACGUGUUAACCCUCGCAAGGCUGCAGGCCCAGACGGCAUCCCCAGCCGCGCCCUCAGAGCAUGCGCAGACCAGCUGGCUGGUGUGUUUACGGACAUAUUCAAUCAAUCCCUAUCCCAGUCUGCUGUUCCCACAUGCUUCAAGAGGGCCACCAGUGUUCCUGUUCCCAAGAAAGCUAAGGUACACAGACGAUGCAAUCUCAACCACACUGCACACUGCCCUAACCCAUCUGGACAAGAGGAAUACCUAUGUGAGAAUGCUGUUCAUCGACUACAGCUCGGCAUUUAACACCAUAGUACCCUCCAAGCUCAUCAUCAAGCUCGAGACCCUGGGUCUCGACCCCGCCCUGUGCAACUGGGUACUGGACUUCCUGACGGGCCGCCCCCAGGUGGUGAGGGUGGGCAACAACAUCUCCACCCCGCAGAUCCUCAACACUGGGGCCCCACAAGGGUGCGUUCUGAGCCCUCUCCUGUACUCCCUGUUCACCCACGACUGCGUGGCCACGCACGCCUCCAUCUCAAUCAUCAAGUUUGCAGACGACACAACAGUGGUAGGCUUGAUUACCAACAACGACGAGACGGCCUACUGGGAGGAGGUGAGGGCCCUCGGAGUGUGGUGUCAGGAAAAUAACCUCACACUCAACGUCAACAAAACUAAGGAGAUGAUUGUGGACUUCAGGAAACAGCAGAGGGAACACCCCCCUAUCAACAUCGAUGGAACAGUAGUGGAGUGGGUAGUAAGUUUUAAGUUCCUCGGCAUACACAUCACAGACAAACUGAAUUGGUCCACCCACACAGACAACAUCGUGAAGAAGGCGCAGCAGCGCCUCUUCAACCUCAGGAGGCUGAAGAAAUUUGGCUUGUCACCAAAAGCACUCACAAACUUCUACAGAUGCACAAUCGAGAGCAUCCUGGCGGGCUGUAUCACCGCCUGGUACGGCAACUGCUCC